rnacentral:rRNA from 1 species
CCUACGGGCGGCAGCAGUGAGGAAUAUUGGGCAAUGGACGCAAGUCUGAACCAGCCAUGCCGCGUGCGGGAAGACGGCUCUCUGAGUUGUAAACUGCUUUUGUACGGGGGUAAACGCAGAUACGCGUAUCUGUCUGAAAGUAUCGUACGAAUAAGGAUCGGCGAACUCCGUGCCAGCAGCCGCGGUAAGACGGAGGAUGCAAGCGUUAUCCGGAUUUAUUGGGUUUAAAGGGUGCGUAGGCGGUCGGAUAAGUUAGAGGUGAAAUCCCGAGGCUCAACUUCGGAAUUGCCUUUGAUACUGGUCGGCUAGAGAGUAGUUGCGGUAGGCGGAAUGUAUGGUGUAGCGGUGAAAUGCUUAGAGAUCAUACAGAACACCGAUUGCGAAGGCAGCUUACCA